GAAUUGCGAUAUGUAAUGUGAAUUGCAGAUUUUCCGUGAAUCAUCGAAUUUUUGAACGCACCUUGCACUCCUUGGUAUUCCGAGGAGUAUGCCUGUUUGAGUGUCAUUAAAUUCUCAACACCUUACAUUUUUGUUGUUUCAAAAGUGUAUAUGGAUGGUUGGAUUGUGGAGGGAAUGCUGGCAAUUUCUGUCGGCUCCUCUGAAAUGCAUUAGCAAGGAAUAAGUUUUGCAAUUGUUGGUGUGAUAAUGAUCAUCGCAUUUGACUGAAUCUUUGAAUCUUUGCUUACAAUAGUCCUUUAGGACAGUCUAUUGAAAUUUUGACCUCAAAUCAGGUAGGACUACCCGCUGAACUUAA
rnacentral:rRNA from 1 species